ACACAAGCAGGGGAGAUACCAUGAACACAAAGGUGGUUUUCCCAGAAGGAGGCCUAUCCAUUGCACCCUGGAUGUGCUGACCCCCGCAAUUUCCCCGAAUGUGAGAAACUGGACUGCAGAAUUUGUGGUUAUUAACAAGUUGUGAUCAUCUGUUGA